GAAAUCCGAUAAGUAAUGUGAAUUGCAGAAUUCAGUGAAUCAUCGAAUCUUUGAACGCACAUUGCGCCCGCCAGUAUUCUGGCGGGCAUGCCUGUUCGAGCGUCAUUACAACCCUCAGGCCCCCGGGCCUGGCGUUGGGGAUCGGCGGAAGCCCCCUGCGGGCACAACGCCGUCCCCCAAAUACAGUGGCGGUCCCGCCGCAGCUUCCAUUGCGUAGUAGCUAACACCUCGCAACUGGAGAGCGGCGCGGCCACGCCGUAAAACACCCAACUUCUGAAUGUUGACCUCGAAUCAGGUAGGAAUACCCGCUGAACUUAAGC
rnacentral:misc_RNA from 1 species